AGACGUUUAUCUUUGCUUAUGUUGUUGAGUGUAGUGUAUAUCUACUCAGAGCCGAGGGGCUGGAUAACUAUUGAGGGGUUGGAUAACCAUUACAACGGCCUGUUUUUUUUGCCCUUUUUGUAGAAUAGUGUCGUUGAUGACACGCCCUAUCUGAUUUUUUUAGCGUUUUACAGAAAAAUGCCGUUGAUGAAAGGGCCUGUGUUUUUUUCGCUCUUUAUAGGAAAAUGCCGUUGAUGAAAGGACCGUUGAUGAAAGGGCCUGUCUGUUUUCUUUUGCUUUUUACAGAAAAAUGUCGUUGAUGAAGGGACCGUUGAUUUCUGUAUAUAUAUAGAGGCAACCCUAGAUCAUUUCUACACAGUUCAAUAUCAGUUUGUUUGCCUAAUGCCUGAAAACUGUGGGGCAUAGAUUGAAAUGUUUUUCUUUGUUUUGCAGGUCAAAUGCUUAUGCUGAAGUUUUGGGUCGGCGUGUAGUGUAUCUCUACUCAGAGCCGAGGGGCUGGAUAACCAUUACAACGGUCAAAUGCUUAUGCUGAAGUUUUGGGUUGGCAUGUGGUUUCCAUGGCACUGCGAUUGGGGUUUUCAUGGACAACACUAGAAUCAUCCUGGUGGCCAUCGGGAACCUCAUGUUCGCCCAAUUCUAGGAGCUCCAGUAAGUUUUGGUCGACAAGGCCAUCUAAUGCCCGAGGAUGAUCCCCAGCUCAGAAAUCCCAUUCUAAAUCCCAUUCUGCUCCAUAAUUACUAUGAAGCUGCUCAUGUUGGUGGCAGUUAGAUUUUAUGAAGCUGCUCAUUUCAGAUAAUUACUCUGUUUCUGACCUAUGUUUUUCUGUUUUUCUGUUCUGGGAUCUGAAUUUUGGUGUUUUGAGCUUGGGUCUCAUUUGCUUUGAAUUGUUAUUGAAGAAUUUGAAAUUACCCUAA